ensembl:snRNA U6atac minor spliceosomal RNA
GUGUUGUAUGACAAGAGAGAAGUUUAGCACUCUCCUUGACAAGGAUGGAAGAGGCCCUUGGGCCUAACAUCACACAUAGGGUUAAGGCAUUGGCACCUACUUCAUGGCAUUUAAAAUAUUCCACUGUAUUUUG